CUCUGACACCACAUCCUUGUGUUCCAUUGGUGUGAUUCAUCUGCAGAUACCAGAACUGCAUAAUUCAUCACAGAUCUUUACUACAGAUAUAAUUACACUAAAUCCUUUGGCCUGAGCAGUGUGAAGCCUUCUCUAAGUGGUGAUAUCCAAGGAGAGGACCAGCAGAGCAGACAGUUGGAGCUCUCCCACGCAACUUCCCUGGAGCAGACCAAGCACGGAGGAUCUCCCUCUGCUGCUGCUCCUGUCACACAGCUGGGCUUCAAAGAGGAUGCUCCUCUCCCACGUGCUUCAAAGGGAAACCAGGAGCCACAGAACAAUUUACUCCCACUCACAGGGCGAGGGGAAAUCCUCUUCUAACAGGGGAUCAUCCUGUUACAACGAGGAUGUCUGGUGAUUUAUGGCAUGCAGCUUUAAACCCUCUUUCCCCUCCAAAGAAACACAGGAGACAGCAGAGCUGGAGGGAGAUAGGAGAGAGAGCUGACAUUGGCAAUGCUUGAAAUAUAGUGUGAGAGCUGGGAAAACCCUUCCUUGCUGUCUUCAUUAGCAUGACUUAAUUAAUAGUUAUAAUCUUAUCAAACAGAGGUUGCCAUGCAGGAGGGAUUGCAGGCUGGAAAUCAAAGCAUUAAUAAAUAGAUAUUUUAAGACUAAAAAGCACCACUGUCGUUUUGUCUGGCUUCCUGUGUAAUUGAUGCCAGAAACUGACCUUUUCAGUGGAAAAAAAAAAAGUGGAUUUAAUAGGAAGGUAUUAGAAUUGUGAUAUUUUUGGGUAAUAAUUUUAACAAUCAAAAUUUGAGUGGUUUAUUUUGCAAAAAAACAAAUAUAUCUGUACUUGAUUGGCUUUCAUUUUCAUUUUCUGCUCUAAAUGCUCUGUAAAUCCCAAAGACUGUAUGCUCUGUGGGGCUUAUGCAUCCAUUUUCUUAAUCUUGUAUUCUGGCAUUGAAUCUAAAUUUUAAAAGAAUAUUCUCAUUCUGGGACAAAGAAAAUUUUCCUUUUUUGACACGAAAAAGCUCUUGAAACUUACAUUAAAUACUGCAAAAAAUUAA